rnacentral:lncRNA from 1 species
CAGAAACUUGUCUGCAUUAACAUUCAAUGGGCAUAGAAAGACAUCUAUGAGGGCUGGAAGGACAGGAAAAGAAUGUGGCAGCAGGAGUACCGUGAAGCUCAGGGCGACACACACAAGUUGUUCUAUAGAUACAGAGGGAACUCAGGGUCUUAAGUCUUACGUCGUCUUAAAACACUUGGUUCCCUAGAGGAGGAGAACGGCCUUGGCCAUAGGACGGGAGCUGCUCUUCCACACAAGAGCUUGCAGAGGGGGUACCCCCUUUUCUCGCACAUUCCCUCUGAUCUCACCUGUCAGAUCCUGUAAGCCUUGAGGUUUUUUGAUUUUUUUGUUUUGUUUUGUUUUGGUCCCACCCCAAAUCAGCCAGUUUCUCAGGUCCUACGAAGGAAUUUACUUCAUCUGGGAAAGCAGGUCCUGGAAAGAAUCUGGGAAGGCUUCCCAGAGGAGGCAGCUCAAAGGUGGGGAGGAAGGGAUCCUAUGUGCUCUGGGCUAGAAGAAGAGGGAAGCCGGCAGCAGCAGCAUCCAUGAUAAAGCAGCAACUAUUCACAGAGCACUGCUGCCAGGAGGCCCAAGCAAACUGAGAUGGCAGCCACCAAGCCACCUGUCCUAUGGCCCAGCUCUUAAGCCCUAGGCCCACGGCUUCCACAAGACAGAGCACCCAGAACCAGCCAAGGCUCAGAUCAUCUGUUCUGGAAAGAUUUGGCUGCCCAGAGAGAAGUACUGAGGGGCCCAUCUCAGCCUCCCUCCACGGGCAUAGGACCUCAGCUCAGAAGCCCUCAAGCUCCAUAAGGGGCAUAGAACAGAGGGAGUUCGUGUACAACCCUCACAGAGCCAUGAACAACGAAGAAACGAAGAAACGGUCCUCGUCCUCGCUCCAGCUGAGCCCUAAGUGGGUGAGCCAGGCUGGGUGGUAGUGUCUCUGCCUCACACACGCACAACCUGGGUUCCAUCCUUGGCACAGCAAGAAAGAGAAAGGAAAACAUGACCUGAGUGUGUGAGUUGGAUGGAUGAGGGUAGGUAGGCUGGAGGGGGUGGGGCUGUAGCUGUCCUGGGGAGCACCUUGGGGAGCCGCCCACUUCUGGGAGAAGGUAAGGCUUGAAGGCUGGGAGGAGGAACUCCAUCAAACCAGUCUGACUUCAGCACUUACACUGGGAGGGGCCAGCAACUUGUGGACCCAUCUUAUCCAGGUGAAGUCACAGGAAAGUAAAUGUGCUAACGUUACCACAGGCUCCCCAGUUUCCAAAGCUGCCUAUUCUACUCUCCAUGGCCUGAUCCUUGAUUCCCUGGGCUCCAUCUUCCUUAACACCUGUGUCAGUUUGAAAGAGAAUGGCGCCUCCAGGUUCAUAGUUUUGAAUACCAGAUUCCCAUUUGGUGAAUUGUUUGGGAAGGAUGAGGGAGGUGUGGCCUUGCUGGAGGAGG